GCGGAAAUAGCUCAGUUGGUAGAGCACACGAUUUCCAAUCCUGGGGUCGCGGGUUCGAGUCCCGUUUUCCGCU
rnacentral:tRNA from 1 species